CGUCCCUGGGCUUAACUGGGGUGGGGGUGGGAGGCCUCAGGCCCCAGAGGGGUCCCACGAAUCAGCAGGGAGGGUGUGCAAUGCUCUGCAUAGCAAAGCUGGGCCACACCAGGGGCUCCAGCUAAGGGGCUUUUUGGGGACCCCCCUGGGGACUCCCUCGCCCAAGGGCAGAGACCCCAGAACCUGCAGGGUCUCCUGAGUUCAGCACAAUGCAGGGCACCAAGUACCAGGUCCCCCUCUCCCCUGAUAUGUUGUAGUGACGAUGUCCCUGUCCCCUGGGGUUGUGGGAACCUCAGCUCAGAGCCCCUUUGAGCAGCCUUGAGCCUUGAGUUCCCACAUUCCUGAGAACUGCCCCUCUGGGCAGCUGUGGAGGUGGGGGCCCCGUGUGCGUGGGGUGACUCUGCAGGGUGCCCCUCCUCUUGCCUCUGUGUCAGCCCUUCCCCCUCCACGGGGCUGGGUGGAGGGUGGAGGGGAUGCCCUCUGUAGCUGGGGCAACCCCCUAGGCUGCACUGCCUUCCUGCCCUUCUGGAAUCAUGACAGUCUCCCCCAUCACGUUAGUGCGAAUGGGGCUCUGAGGCCUGAGAGGGGAAGGGCCUCCCGGACCCCCAUGUCUUGCCUCAAGUCGCAUCCCAGCAGUGAAAACGCAUCCCAGCAGUGAAAACAGGGGCCGGGCUGGAUCAGUGGGUUCCAGGGGGUGGAUGAUAGGCCUGUCAGUGGUGGAAACUUCUGUUCAGGUGAAAGCUCAUGCAGAUGCAAACCCCUGGGAGCUGAGCUUUCGGCUGCCCUCCCUGGCCCACCUCCCUGGAGCGGACUUGUGGCGGGGUCCCCUCUGUUCCUUGGUGUAUCCAUCUCUCUGGGCUUUGGGCUCCUAUUGUAAAAUAGGACUGGAGGGGCAGAGGGUGUGCAAGGUGACCCUGUGCCAUGCCUGACACAUGUCAGAACCAGCAGGCAGCUGCCAGACGUCAGGGGAUGGCGCCCCUGCGGGCCGUGGCGAUGCGCCAGGGCUGGGCCCAGUCCUGGCGAGGGCAGCGUGGGGUCUUCCUUGCAGGGACCGGGAAGCAUUCAGGAGCCUUUGGCUCUGAGGAUCCGAAACCCCAUCUGGUGGAGGCAAGGAGAGAAAGAGGAAUUGAAUGGCUGAGGUCACCAGGAGGCGGCCAGCGUCAGGACAGCCCCUUCAGGUCUCCUGUCGCAGCUCUGCGCAGUCAGCGUGUCUUCCCCAAGGCUGGCGCCAUGUCUACCCACAGCUGCCGCUCCCUGCUCCUGGCCUGGGGGCCCUCAGAGGAGGGGCGAUGGUGAUGAUAAGACGCCCCACCUGGGAAGGAUCCUGGGGACCGACUCUCGCGGACAGUCUGGGCCCCACACCCCAGCUUGGCCAGUGUCUGUGGUGGGAGGGCUAGGAGAGAGGUGCUGUGAACAGAAGACCUUCUCCACAAUGCCUCGGUUCAACAAACGGGGCGGUUCCCCGAAAGGGGCCAGGCGGGAGCGGGUUAGCAGGACGUCCACAGGUGCUGUUGGCCUUCCCUGCAGGUAGAGCUGGGCCUCCCUGGGACGUGGCCCUUCCCUGCAGGUAGAGGUGGGCCUCGCUGGGACGUGGCCCUUCCCUGCAGGUAGAGGUGGGCCUCCCUGGGACGUGGCCCUUCCCUGCAGGUAGAGGUGGGCCUCCCUGGGACGUGGCCCUUCCCUGCAGGUAGAGCUGGGCCUCCCUGGGACGAGGCCCUUCCCUGCAGGUAGAGGUGGGCCUCGCUGGAAAGGCGCGGUUCCCGUGGCUCCCAGCCCCCAGGUGGGAGAGGUAUAUCCAACUGGACACUAGGACUGAGGAGGCCUCUGAAGGGCUGCUGAGGGCGUGCUGGCCAGCUUGGCCUUGGCCAUGGGGGUGGUCAGCUGUCUGGGAACGGCUCCUUGGGGCUGGGAAUGGAGAGGUCACCUUUUGUAUGAAGUUGGGUGGGGGCCGGGAAGUUGGACCCCAGCAGGGCUUUGAAGCCUGCAGGCAAGUCCCCCCUUCCCACGUCAGGGACGCAUAACCCAUGCCCCAGCACACUGGGCUUCCUUGUGUCCUGGGUACAACAGAGCAUUCCCUUUUACAGAUACAGAAUCUGAGCAGGAUAGUCUCAGAGAUGGUGAGAUGUGUUAGAGCUGGGGGCCUUCCCAUCAGCAGGCACUUCCUUUACUCCCAUCCUGGGUCUAUCAUGGGAUUCUUAAGGCUACUUAGUGUUAAAACCCUUACAGACUCCAACAUCUAGCCAUCCAUCCAUCCAUCCAUUUGGCUGUCUAUCCAUUCAUCCAUCCAUCCAUCCAUCCAACUGUCCAUCUUUCCGUUCCUCUAUCCAUCCA
ensembl:lncRNA